AAGUGUAAUAGGGCUUUCAUGGGUGGUAGUUCACCCCUUUUUGAAGAAAGGGGGUGAUAGUAUGACAGUAUUUGAAACAUUGGUGUUGAUGAUCUCUUUCUCAACCUUAGUUGUAGCUAUACUGUCACAACAAAAAAAGUAACCACCCGAUGAAUGCCUAGCCGCAUUUUGGUUGGUUACUUUUUAACCACAAAACAUGUGAGCUACCCCCUUGAAGGGCUAUUACACAUUAGACCGUUCCAUGUACCAGCAUGGGCG
rnacentral:sRNA from 1 species